GGUAGACUGUCAAUUUUACCUUUGUUCAUCUGCAGAUACAGCGUGUUCUUGGCGUUGUCUCUGGAGAUGGUGAAUCGGCCCUUCACGGAAUCUGCGUAGUAUGUGCCACUUCCAUCAGUAUCAAUCCGUCAGACCCACUGCAGCCCCUUCCCUGGAGCCUGGCGGACCCCGUUCAUGCUGGAACUACUGAAGGUGAAUCCAGAGGCUACAACGGAACGUGUAUAUACUGAGAAUCCUUGAGAGAAAGUCGUGGAGUUGAUGAAGAAGCUGUGGGGUUGCGACAACUACAAGAGUCUUUACGCAUGCUCUCUCUUCAUGGGCAUCAAAGGGAAACCUUAAGGAAAAUAAAAGGAGAGAGGAGCUGCUCAAAUAUAUUAAGUUUAGAUCACUUGAAUGAGUCAGUCUCCUCUGUUUGAAAAUCACUUACAUCUAUUUUAAAUGGUGGCCCGUGUACUUGUGAGGCACAGGUCUGAUCAUAUGAGAGUUAAUUUAUCCCCGAGCUUGGUCUCUGUCAAGGUCGGCACUACUAUAUGACUGUUCACUCUAAAUGUUAGAAGACAUCUGUGUUUGUAAAUGGUUUAGGAAACAGUGUGUACUGUUUGCUGGUCAGGUUGAAGU